CGAGGGGCAGCAUGAAGUUUGCUUGCAAACUUUGAUGGCGACCGGCGCACGGGUGAGUAACGUGUAUCCAACCUUCCCUAUAGUAGAGAAUAGCCCGGCGAAAGUCGGAUUAAUGCUCUAUGUUAUUCAAAGCGGACAUCUAAUUUGAAUCAAAGGUUCACCGCUAUAGGAUGGGGAUGCGUCUGAUUAGCUUGAUGGCGGGGUAACGGCCCACCAUGGCGACGAUCAGUAGGGGUUCUGAGAGGAAGGUCCCCCACAUUGGAACUGAGACACGGUCCAAACUCCUACGGGAGGCAGCAGUGAGGAAUAUUGGUCAAUGGGCGAGAGCCUGAACCAGCCAAGUAGCGUGCAGGAUGACGGCCCUAUGGGUUGUAAACUGCUUUUAUGCGGAAAUAAAGUCGGCUACGCGUAGCCGUUAAAAAAACCGCAUGAUUAAGGACCGGCUAAGUCCGUACCAGCAGCCGCGGUAAUACGGAAGGUCCGGGCGUUAUCCGGAUUUAUUGGGUUUAAAGGGAGCGCAGGCCGGAGGUCAAGCGUGACGUGAAAUGUAGGGGCUCAACCUUUGAAUUGCGUCGCGAACUGGUUUCCUUGAAUGAGUAUGACGUCAGCGGAAUUCGUGGUGUAGCGGUGAAAUGUUUAGAUAUCACGAAGAACCCCGAUUGCGAAGGCAGCUGACGAGUCCUUUACUGACGCUAAGGCUCGAAGGUGCGGGUAUCGAACAGGAUUAGAUACCCUGGUAGUCCGCACGGUAAACGAUGGAUGCCCGCUGUUUGCGAUAUAUUGUGAGCGGCCAAGCGAAAGCGUUAAGCAUCCCACCUGGGGAGUACGCCGGCAACGGUGAAACUCAAAGGAAUUGACGGGGGCCCGCACAAGCGGAGGAACAUGUGGUUUAAUUCGAUGAUACGCGAGGAACCUUACCCGGGCUUGAACUGCAGGAGAACGAUCCAGAGAUGGUGAGGCCCUUCGGGGCUCCUGUGGAGGUGCUGCAUGGUUGUCGUCAGCUCGUGCCGUGAGGUGUCGGCUUAAGUGCCAUAACGAGCGCAACCCCUUUCGCCAGUUGCCAUCAGGUGAUGCUGGGCACU
rnacentral:rRNA from 1 species